AUUGAACGCUGGCGGCAGGCCUAACACAUGCAAGUCGAGCGGAUGAAGGGAGCUUGCUCCUGGAUUCAGCGGCGGACGGGUGAGUAAUGCCUAGGAAUCUGCCUGGUAGUGGGGGAUAACGUCCGGAAACGGGCGCUAAUACCGCAUACGUCCUGAGGGAGAAAGUGGGGGAUCUUCGGACCUCACGCUAUCAGAUGAGCCUAGGUCGGAUUAGCUAGUUGGUGGGGUAAAGGCCUACCAAGGCGACGAUCCGUAACUGGUCUGAGAGGAUGAUCAGUCACACUGGAACUGAGACACGGUCCAGACUCCUACGGGAGGCAGCAGUGGGGAAUAUUGGACAAUGGGCGAAAGCCUGAGCCAGCCAUGCCGCGUGUGUGAAGAAGGUCUUCGGAUUGUAAAGCACUUUAAGUUGGGAGGAAGGGCAGUAAGUUAAUACCGUGCUGUUUUGACGUUACCAACAGAAUAAGCACCGGCUAACUUCGUGC
rnacentral:rRNA from 1 species